UUGUUCUGGACUUUAUUAAACUUCUUUAAAACAUAAGCUUUAUUAAUCUCCAUUUAUAACAGACACCCGAGCAUAUGCCAAACUAUUCCUGGAAGACUGAAAUGCAGGAUGAGAGAUGUAAUCCUCCAAGAACUUUCAGGAUUCUGUGAAGAAGCUGUUGAAGUAAG